GCCUCCCUAGCUCAGUGGUAGAGCAACGCUCUUGUAAAGCGUAGGUCGUCGGUUCGAUCCCGACGGGGGGCU
rnacentral:tRNA from 1 species